AUUGAACGCUGGCGGCAGGCCUAACACAUGCAAGUCGAGCGGAUGAAGGGAGCUUGCUCCUGGAUUCAGCGGCGGACGGGUGAGUAAUGCCUAGGAAUCUGCCUGGUAGUGGGGGAUAACGUCCGGAAACGGGCGCUAAUACCGCAUACGUCCUGAUGGAGAAAGUGGGGGAUCUUCGGACCUCACGCUAUCAGAUGAGCCUAGGUCGGAUUAGCUAGUUGGUGGGGUAAAGGCCUACCAAGGCGACGAUCCGUAACUGGUCUUAGAGGAUGAUCAGUCACACUGGAACUGAGACACGGUCCAGACUCCUACGGGAGGCAGCAGUGGGGAAUAUUGGACAAUGGGCGAAAGCAUGAUCAAGCCAUGCCGCGUGUGUGAAGAAGGUCUUCGGAUUGUAAAGCACUUUAAGUUGGGAGGAAGGGAAGUAAGUUAAUACCUUGCUGUUUUGACGUUACCAACAGAAUAAGCACCGGCUAACUUCGUG
rnacentral:rRNA from 1 species